AUUGAACGCUGGCGGCAGGCCUAACACAUGCAAGUCGAGCGGAAACGACAUCUUCGGAUGGGCGUCGAGCGGCGGACGGGUGAGUAAUGCGUAGAUAUCUGCCUUUUAGUGGAGGAUAACCUGGGGAAACUCAGGCUAAUACUGCAUAAUCUCUACGGAGCAAAGCGGGGCUCUCUACCCUCGCGCUAUUAGAUGAGUCUACGUCUGAUUAGCUAGUUGGUGCGGUAACGGCGUACCAAGGCGACGAUCAGUAGCUGGUCUGAGAGGAUGAUCAGCCACACCGGGACUGAGACACGGCCCGG
rnacentral:rRNA from 1 species